UACGAAGGGGGCUAGCGUUGUUCGGAAUUACUGGGCGAAAGCGCACGUAGGCGGAUCGAUCAGUCAGGGGGUGAAAAUCCCAGAGCUCAACUCUGGAACUGCCUUUGAUACUGUCGAUCUGGAGUAUGGAAGAGGUGAGUGGAAUUCCGAGUGUAGAGGUGAAAUUCGUAGAUAUUCGGAGGAACACCAGUGGCGAAGGCGGCUCACUGGUCCAUUACUGACGCUGAGGUGCGAAAGCGUGGGGAGCAAACAGG
rnacentral:rRNA from 1 species